rnacentral:rRNA from 1 species
GUCUCUGGCCGUCCGAGUUGUAAUCUAGAGAAGUGCUACCCGCGCUGGACCGUGUACAAGUCUCCUGGAAUGGAGCGUCAUAGAGGGUGAGAAUCCCGUCUCUGACACGGACUACCAGGGCUUUGUGGUACGCUCUCAAAGAGUCGAGUUGUUUGGGAAUGCAGCUCAAAAUGGGUGGUAAAUUCCAUCUAAAGCUAAAUAUUGGCGAGAGACCGAUAGCGAACAAGUACCGUGAGGGAAAGAUGAAAAGAACUUUGGAAAGAGAGUUAAACAGUACGUGAAAUUGCUGAAAGGGAAACGCUUGAAGUCAGUCGCGUUGGCCGGGGAUCAGCCUCGCUUUUGCGUGGUGUACUUUCUGGUUGACGGGUCAGCAUCAAUUUUGACCGCUGGAAAAAGGCUUGGGGAAUGUGGCAGCUUCGGCUGUGUUAUAGCCCUUUGUCACAUACAGCGGUUGGGAUUGAGGAACUCAGCACGCCGCAAGGCCGGGUUUCGACCACGUUCGUGCUUAGGAUGCUGGCAUAAUGGCUUUAAGCGACCCGUCUUGAAACACGGACCAAGGAGUCUAACAUGCCUGCGAGUGUUUGGGUGGAAAACCCGAGCGCGUAAUGAAAGUGAAAGUUGAGAUCCCUGUCGUGGGGAGCAUCGACGCCCGGACCAGAACUUUUGGGACGGAUCCGCGGUAGAGCAUGUAUGUUGGGACCCGAAAGAUGGUGAACUAUGCCUGAAUAGGGUGAAGCCAGAGGAAACUCUGGUGGAGGCUCGUAGCGAUUCUGACGUGCAAUCGAUCGUCAAAUUUGGAUAUAGGGCGAAAGACUAAUCGAACCAUCUAGUAGCUGGUUCCUGCCGAA